rnacentral:tRNA from 1 species
GCCUCCCUAGUAUAUUAAUUACAAAUGACUUCCAAUCAUUAAAAUCUGGUCUAACCCCAGAGGAAGGCA